UGAACGCUGGCGGCAGGCCUAACACAUGCAAGUCGAACGGUAGCACAGAGAGCUUGCUCUUGGGUGACGAGUGGCGGACGGGUGAGUAAUGUCUGGGAAACUGCCCGAUGGAGGGGGAUAACUACUGGAAACGGUAGCUAAUACCGCAUAACGUCUUCGGACCAAAGAGGGGGACCUUCGGGCCUCUUGCCAUCGGAUGUGCCCAGAUGGGAUUAGCUAGUAGGUGGGGUAAUGGCUCACCUAGGCGACGAUCCCUAGCUGGUCUGAGAGGAGACCACACUGGAACUGAGACACGGUCCAGACUCCUACGGGAGGCAGCAGUGGGGAAUAUUGCACAAUGGGCGCAAGCUGAUGCAGCCAUGCCGCGUGUAUGAAGAAGGCCUUCGGGUUGUAAAGUACUUUCAGCGGGGAGGAAGGCGAUGGGGUUAAUAACCCCGU
rnacentral:rRNA from 1 species